rnacentral:lncRNA from 1 species
GAGAGAAUAAUUAUUGAAAUAUACUAUGUGAGAAUAUAGAAUCAGCAUCUUGAAGCAUCUCGUACUCAGUGGGAAUAACUCUGUUCCCACUAGAACAGCACCAAUCAUUUCUCUAGCUCAACUAUCUCAUCCCAUACAGUACAUAUUUUGAUAAAAUGCAUUCAACCUUGAAUUUGGGACAUAAGUUUAUAAUAAAUAAUGCUUUCAAUUCAGUUCUAUGUCAUUAGUUAUUGCACUAAACUAAAAAACGAAUGGUGAUAACACUAAUGUAGAUAAUCCUAAUUCUGCCUUACUCAGAUUGCCACCUUCAAGGAGUAAAAAGGCUAGCUUUUUCUAGUGGCAUAACACGUCAAGGAACAACCCACUAAACAUUAGCCAUAUGUAAUCCAAACCCCAACAUAAUGCAAAUGUAGUCACUGCCAAUCAUCCUCUUAUUUACUACUAUUUGUUUUCUCAGGUGUAUAAAAAGGGCCGUUUUCAAGAAUCAGACAACACUGAUCCUAGAAAUACAAACACCUUGUCCUUGUUGUCUGAAAUGGAUGAGGAAAAACAUCGACUUAUGAGAGAGCCAAGUGGAGUAGGGAACAAGCUGCAGCUUACAGUGGAUGAGGUGGUGGAGGAAUAUGUUGGAUCGUUUGGAUUCUCACAGCUUGUGCAGGUAACCUUGGUCUCCCUGGCUCGGAUAUUUGAUGCCCACUGCACCCUUGUCACCAUCUUCACAGAUGCUCAGCCACAGUCGUGGCGGUGCAUUGGCCACGAAUGCGGUAGCACUGGUGGCAGCACCGCUGCUUCCGUUUGUGGGUUGGAGCCAGGAACUUGGGAGUGGAGUGGUGGCAAUACAAGCUCCACCAUUGCUGAAUGGGGGCUGGUGUGUGACCGUAGAUUUCUUGCUGCUCUGCCUACUUCAGUUUACUUCCUCGGUUCCCUUAUAGGUUUCCUCGUUUUCCCAACAUGUUCUGUUACAGUAAAUAAAUUGUAGAGAUUGUUAUUUUUCUGAACUCAAGACUGCUAAAAUUCAACAAAAGAGACAGAAAAAAUAAUGAUUUUUCAUAGGUUGAGACUGAAUAAUGUUUUACCAUAUAUGAUAACAGGCUCUGCAGUCUUCGGCCGCCUGGCAGAUGGACGCUUAGGGCGGAAAAGGGCAGUUCUUGCUUCAUGUCUCCUAACCGCUGCUACCAUUUUCCUAACUUCCUUCUCCCCCCAACAUAUGGAUUUACUCCCUUCUCCGCUUCGCAAAUGGAUUUUCCCGAGCAGGCAUGGGGAUAUGCUGCCUGGUGCUUUCAACAGAAACCAUAGGCCGGAGAUGGCGCGGACAAGUUGGCCAAGUUGGAUUUUUCUUCUUUGCAGCGGGGUUUCUUUCGAUCCCCGUGAUUGCUUAUCCGACCAGAACUUGUUGGAGAACUCUGUACAGGAUUAUUUCAAUCCUUCCACUUCUUUACUCAAUCUUUAUACUAAUGCCCUUUGUAGCAGAGUCUCCGAGGUGGCUACUUGUGAGGGGAAGAAGCAAAGAAGCUCUUGAUGUGUUGAGAAGAUAUGCAAGAAUUAAUGGAAAAGAGUUGCCUCUGAAUCUGAGUCUCU